AACGAACGCUGGCGGCAGGCUUAACACAUGCAAGUCGAGCGCCCCGCAAGGGGAGCGGCAGACGGGUGAGUAACGCGUGGGAACGUACCCUUUGCUACGGAAUAGCUCCGGGAAACUGGAAUUAAUACCGUAUGUGCCCUACGGGGGAAAGAUUUAUCGGCAAAGGAUCGGCCCGCGUUGGAUUAGCUAGUUGGUGGGGUAAUGGCCUACCAAGGCGACGAUCUUUAGCUGGUCUGAGAGGAUGAUCAGCCACACUGGGACUGAGACACGGCCCAGACUCCUACGGGAGGCAGCAGUGGGGAAUAUUGGACAAUGGGCGCAAGCCUGAUCCAGCCAUGCCGCGUGAGUGAUGAAGGCCUUAGGGUUGUAAAGCUCUUUCAGUAGGGAAGAUAAUGACGGUACCUACAGAAGAAGCCCCGGCUAACUUCGUGCCAGCAGCCGCAGUAACAC
rnacentral:rRNA from 1 species